GACGAACGCUGGCGGCGUGCUUAACACAUGCAAGUCGAACGGAAAGGCCCUGCUUUUGUGGGGUGCUCGAGUGGCGAACGGGUGAGUAACACGUGAGUAACCUGCCCUUGACUUUGGGAUAACUUCAGGAAACUGGGGCUAAUACCGGAUAGGAGCUCCUGCUGCAUGGUGGGGGUUGGAAAGUUUCGGCGGUUGGGGAUGGACUCGCGGCUUAUCAGCUUGUUGGUGGGGUAGUGGCUUACCAAGGCUUUGACGGGUAGCCGGCCUGAGAGGGUGACCGGCCACAUUGGGACUGAGAUACGGCCCAGACUCCUACGGGAGGCAGCAGUGGGGAAUAUUGCACAAUGGGCGGAAGCCUGAUGCAGCAACGCCGCGUGCGGGAUGACGGCCUUCGGGUUGUAAACCGCUUUCGCCUGUGACGAAGCGUGAGUGACGGUAAUGGGUAAAGAAGCACCGGCUAACUACGUGCCAGCAGCCGCGGUGAUACGUAGGGUGCGAGCGUUGUCCGGAUUUAUUGGGCGUAAGGGCUCGUAGAUGGUUGAUCGCGUCGGAAGUGUAAUCUUGGGGCUUAACCCUGAGCGUGCUUUCGAUACGGGUUGACUUGAGGAAUUUAGGGGAGAAUGGAAUUCCUGGUGGAGCGGUGGAAUGCGCAGAUAUCAGGAGGAACACCAGUGGCGAAGGCGGUUCUCUGGGCCUUUCCUGACGCUGAGGAGCGAAAGCGUGGGGAGCGAACAGGCUUAGAUACCCUGGUAGUCCACGCUGUAAACGGUGGGUACUAGGUGUGGGGUCCAUUCCACGGGUUCCGUGCCGUAGCUAACGCUUUAAGUACCCCGCCUGGGGAGUACGGCCGCAAGGCUAAAACUCAAAGGAAUUGACGGGGCCCCGCACAAGCGGCGGAGCAUGCGGAUUAAUUCGAUGCAACGCGUAGAACCUUACCUGGGUUUGACAUGGAUCGGGAGUGCUCAGAGAUGGGUGUGCCUCUUUUGGGGUCGGUUCACAGGUGGUGCAUGGCUGUCGUCAGCUCGUGUCGUGAGAUGUUGGGUUAAGUCCCGCAACGAGCGCAACCCUUGUUCACUGUUGCCAGCACGUUAUGGUGGGGACUCAGUGGAGACCGCCGGGGUCAACUCGGAGGAAGGUGGGGAUGACGUCAAGUCAUCAUGCCCCUUAUGUCCAGGGCUUCACGCAUGCUACAAUGGCUGGUACAGAGAGUGGCGAGCCUGUGAGGGUGAGCGAAUCUCGGAAAGCCGGUCUCAGUUCGGAUUGGGGUCUGCAACUCGACCUCAUGAAGUCGGAGUCGCUAGUAAUCGCAGAUCAGCAACGCUGCGGUGAAUAAAUUCCCGGG
rnacentral:rRNA from 1 species